UACGUAGGGGGGCGAGCGUUGUCCGGAUUUAUUGGGCGUAAAAGGCUUGUAGGUGGCCACGCAAGUCGGAUGUGAAAUCUCCCGGCUCAACUGGGAGGGGUCAUUCGAUACUGCCGGGCUCGAGGCCGGUAGGGGGGAAGCGGAAUUCCCGGUGUAGUGGUGGAAUGCGUAGAUAUCGGGGAGGAACACCAGAGGCGAAGGCGGCUUCCUGGACCGGUCCUGACACUGAGGAGCGAAAGCG
rnacentral:rRNA from 1 species